CUUCCUCAGCUCUACCAGCCCCGAGUGACUGACCCACUUCUCCCUGAAGUUGACUGGAUUCCAUCCAGGUACCACAAAAGAUCCCUCAGGCUGAGCCAGAAACAAGCUCU